AAGCAAUAGCUGAUUGCAUUUAUUUAAAUUAAUGUAGUUACUACUUGGUAGUUUAAAUUUCUAGGUAGAAUUAUGAUGAUGACAUUAUCUAUCUAUUAGUCUUGACCAAAUUACGUGCCAGCAGUCGCGGUAAUACGUAGAAGACAAGUGUUAUUCAUCUUUAUUAGGUUUAAAGAGUACCAAGACGGUUAMUAAAGCCCAAWAUARAUGAAUACGGGGGACACAUUAACUAGAGUUAAUAUGAAAAUGAAAGCUAGAAGGUACUGUUGAKUGUAGAGAUGAAAAUUCAAUGAUACCAGAUGAUUGGCACAGAUUAAUGCGAAGGCAUCUUUCUUAUGUAAUAACUGACGUUGUAGGACGAAGGCUUAGGGAGUGAACAGGAUUAGGUACCCCAGUAAUCUAGGCAGAAAAUGAUGAAUGUCAUAGGUUUAAUACAGACAGGUUAAGUUGACUAUCUAAUGGUAAAUAGGUGGUAUUUUAAUCAGUCUAUUAUUGUGUCUAUAAAUGAAAGUGUAAGCAUUCCACCUCAAGAGUAAUUUGGCAACAUUGGAACUGAAAUCAUUAGACCGUUUCUGAAACCAGUAGUGAAGUAUGUUGUUUAAUUAGAUGAUACACAAAAACCUUACCACAAUUUGAAUAUAUAUAAAUUAUAUUUACAAGCGCUGCACGGCUGUCUACAGUUAAUGUCGUGAGAUUUUGGUUAGCUCCAUUAAAUUGACGUAAACCCUAAUUUUAUUUAUAAAUAUAAUUAACAUUGCUAUAUAUGAUGUUUAAG
rnacentral:rRNA from 1 species